ensembl:lncRNA
UAAGAAGGUAUAAGGAAAAUUUAUUUAUUCUUUAUUUUUUUAUUUUUUGGUACCGGGGAUCGAACUCGGGUCCUUGUGCUUGUGUAGCAGGCGGCGAAACCAAUGAGCUAAAUCCCCGGCUCAAGGAGAAUUUACUUUUAAAUUUACAGAUUUUUUUUAUUAGUACAUGAUUGCAGUACAAAAUAACUUCAUUGUGGGUUGUUUGUACAGGUAAAUGCAAAUAUUAAUUCUUUCUAUGCCCCUCCCAUCUGUCGGUCCCUUUCCCAUUUGCAAAAGAUCUAUCUCCCUGCCUCUUACGGUCUAUCUUUUGUGUGUGCAUGUGUGUGUGAGAGAGAAGAGUAGGGAGAGGGAGGGUGGAGAGAAAGAGAGAAAUUGGGGAAUUGAACCCAGAGCCUUCAUACUGAACUAUAUCCCCAGCCCUUUUAUUUUUUAUUUUUUUAUUUUUUUGAGAUAGAGUCUUGCCAAGUCACUAAGUUGCCCAGGCUGGGCUUCAACUUUCGGUCUUCCUGUCUGAGCCUCCCAGAGUGCUGGGAUUAUAGGAAUGGGGCAACAACUGGGUUGGGGAAUGGGAUGUUUUUAACUGGAGCUUAUGGAAGAUUCUUGUUGGAAAUAAAGAAGGCCUUUAUUAAGAAUGUGAAGAAAAGGCAAUGAAGAAAGGGCAGAUACCAGAGAUUUUUAGGAGGCAGAUUCCAAAGGACUAAGACUGAGUGUGAAAAAGAUAAAGAUCUGAUUUUGAGGCAUCUAUUAAAUAUCCCAGGUGGUAAAUGAUAGUGCCAUUAAGCAAAGAAUGCAAUAGGAGAAGCCAAUCUAUAUGGCCAUUCAGGCAGCAUGAGAGAAAGCUGAAGCUAUGGACAUUGCUGAGAUUGAAAAAAAUAAGCAACAACUGAAGGCUGUGGUUGGGAUUCUACAGGAAAAACUGGAAGAGAAGUUAGGAUGUGAAGGGAAGGAGCACAAGGGUGAUAGGAAAUUUUUUGCUAUUGUUUGGUUUUUGUUUUGUUGUUGGCCUUUCUUCUUAGGCUGGAGAAGACAGUUACUAUGUUUAUACAAAGACAGGAAAAACUAAAUGGUGAUGUGAGGAUACAGUAAACACAGUAUGAGAUACAAAGAAGGGAUUCAUCACCAUGGAGUUUAGAAAGGAAGGACAUCAUUUCCUCAAAACUAAGGUGAGAGUAAAAGGAGAAGUGGAUAGCCAAGUGCAUUUUAAAUUAUAAAAUAAAUUCUAUGUUCAGUAAAUAGCACCUGAUAAAUGAAAAGUCUACUGGAAAUACUGUAAACACAAGAUACAGCAGACCCUUAAUCCAUCUUACAGAGGAAAAAUACUGCAAAACAAGCCAAUGCUUAUUUAGUUAAAAUCCACUGAGCUAGUCUGUUUAAACUGAUCAGUGCUAAUUCAUAUGAAAUUAAGAUUAUGUAUUUUUAAAAUAACAUACCACCUACCAAUCAC